UUCUGAUAAACUUAAGAUUGAGGCAACAAUGCUAUUCAAAAAGAUUUCCUUAAAGUUGGAUGCGCUGUCUCACUUCCAUUUUGCUCCAAAGCCGGUUAUUGAGGACAUGUCUAUACAAGUCAAUGUACCUGCUCUAGCAAUGGAAGAGGU